GAUGAACGCUGGCGGCGUGCUUAACACAUGCAAGUCGAACGGAAAGGCUCCUGCUUGCAGGGGUACUCGAGUGGCGAACGGGUGAGUAACACGUGGGUGAUCUGCCCAGCACUUCGGGAUAAGCCUGGGAAACUGGGUCUAAUACCGGAUAGGACGAUGGUUUGGAUGCCAUUGUGGAAAGUUUUUUCGGUGUGGGAUGAGCUCGCGGCCUAUCAGCUUGUUGGUGGGGUAAUGGCCUACCAAGGCGUCGACGGGUAGCCGGCCUGAGAGGGUGUACGGCCACAUUGGGACUGAGAUACGGCCCAGACUCCUACGGGAGGCAGCAGUGGGGAAUAUUGCACAAUGGGCGCAAGCCUGAUGCAGCGACGCCGCGUGGGGGAUGACGGCCUUCGGGUUGUAAACUCCUUUCGCUAGGGACGAAGCGCAAGUGACGGUACCUGGAGAAGAAGCACAGGCUAACUACGUG
rnacentral:rRNA from 1 species